rnacentral:rRNA from 1 species
UAAUACAGAGGGGGCAAGCGUUAUUCGGAAUUAUUGGGCGUAAAGGGCGCGUAGGCGGCUUGGCAAGUGGAAGGUGAAAUCCCUCGGCUUAACCGAGGAACUGCCUUCCAGACUGCUUUGCUUGAGGCCGGGAGAGGCGAGUGGAAUUCCCAGUGUAGCGGUGAAAUGCGUAGAUAUUGGGAGGAACACCAGUGGCGAAGGCGGCUCGCUGGACCGGUUCUGACGCUGAGGCGCGAAAGCGUGGGGAGCAAACGGGAUUAGAUACCCCGGUAGUCCACGCCGUAAACGAUGAGUGCUUGGUGUAGCGGGUAUCGACCCCUGCUGUGCCGAAGUCAACACAUUAAGCACUCCGCCUGGGGAGUACGGUCGCAAGGCUG